rnacentral:rRNA from 1 species
AGCAGCCGCGGUAAUUCCAGCUCCAAUAGCGUAUAUUAAAGUUGUUGCAGUUAAAAAGCUCGUAGUUGAAUUUCGGGGUUAGUACGCUGGUCGUGCCUUCGGUAUGUACUGGUGUUACUGAUUCCUACCUUCUGAAGAACCGUCAUGUCAUUAAUUUGGUGUGGCGGGGAAUCAGGACUGUUACUUUGAAAAAUUAGAGUGUUUAAAGCAGGCUCGCGCUUGAAUACAUUAGCAUGGAAUAAUGAAAUAGGACGUUUGAUCCUAUUUUGUUGGUUUCUAGGAUUGACGUAAUGAUUAAUAGGGAUAGUUGGGGGCAUUAGUAUUCAAUUGUCAGAGGUGAAAUUCUUGGAUUUAUUGAAGACUAACUACUGCGAAAGCAUUUGCCAAGGAUGUUUUCAUUAAUCAAGAACGAAAGUUAGGGGAUCGAAGACGAUCAGAUACCGUCGUAG